AUGGCUCAGAUUGAACGCUGGCGGCAGGCCUAACACAUGCAAGUCGAGCGGUAGCACAAGAGAGCUUGCUCUCUGGGUGACGAGCGGCGGACGGGUGAGUAAUGUCUGGGAAACUGCCUGAUGGCGGGGGAUAACUAGUGGAAACGGUAGCUAAUACCGCAUAACGUCGCAAGACCAAAGUGGGGGACCUUCGGGCCUCACGCCAUCAGAUGUGCCCAGGUGGGAUUAGCUGGUAGGUGGGGUAACGGCUCACCUAGGCGACGAUCCCUAGCUGGUCUGAGAGGAUGACCAGCCACACUGGAACUGAGACACGGUCCAGACUCCUACGGGAGGCAGCAGUGGGGAAUAUUGCACAAUGGGCGCAAGCCUGAUGCAGCCAUGCCGCGUGUGUGAAGAAGGCCUUCGGGUUGUAAAGCACUUUCAGCGAGGAGGAAGGGUAAUGUGUUAAUAA
rnacentral:rRNA from 1 species